rnacentral:rRNA from 1 species
GAGUUUGAUCAUGGCUCAGAUUGAACGCUAGCGGGAUGCUUUACACAUGCAAGUCGAACGGCAGCGCGGACUUCGGUCUGGCGGCGAGUGGCGAACGGGUGAGUAAUAUAUCGGAACGUACCCAGUAGCGGGGGAUAACUACUCGAAAGAGUAGCUAAUACCGCAUACGCCCUACGGGGGAAAGGGGGGGAUCGCAAGACCUCUCACUAUUGGAGCGGCCGAUAUCGGAUUAGCUAGUUGGUGGGGUAAAGGCCUACCAAGGCGACGAUCCGUAGCUGGUUUGAGAGGACGACCAGCCACACUGGGACUGAGACACGGCCCAGACUCCUACGGGAGGCAGCAGUGGGGAAUUUUGGACAAUGGGGGCAACCCUGAUCCAGCCAUCCCGCGUGUGCGAUGAAGGCCUUCGGGUUGUAAAGCACUUUUGGCAGGAAAGAAAUCGCACGGGUUAAUACCUUGUGUGGAUGACGGUACCUGCAGAAUAAGCACCGGCUAACUACGUGCCAGCAGCCGCGGUAAUUACGUAGGGUGCAAGCGUUAAUCGGAAUUACUGGGCGUAAAGCGUUGCGCAGGCGGUCGGAAAGAAAGGU